rnacentral:rRNA from 1 species
UACGUAGGGUGCAAGCGUUAAUCGGAAUUACUGGGCGUAAAGCGUGCGCAGGCGGUUAUGUAAGACAGAUGUGAAAUGCCCGGGCUUAACCUGGGAACUGCAUUUGUGACUGCAUGGCUAGAGUUUGGCAGAGGGGGGUAGAAUUCCACGUGUAGCAGUGAAAUGCGUAGAUAUGUGGAGGAACACCGAUGGCGAAGGCAGCCCCCUGGGUCAAGACUGACGCUCAUGCACGAAAGGCGUGGGAGCAAACAGG